GGCACUGGGGGGCCCAGGGGUCCUGCCCACUCGGGUGUGCCCCCCGACAGGAGGGGGGGAGUGAGGCUUUCCGGGUGGAGGCUGGGCUGGGCAGCCAGGUGGAGAGAGGCUGGCUGCACCUGGGACUUCUGCUUUUCCACCCAGAAGGCCCUUCUUCCUGCAUUCUGAUGGUGUCUCCUUCUUACCCCUCGGGCCUCAGCGCGAGGGUCCCCCUCCAUGACACCCCCGUCCCAAGUUAUUCUUUCUCCCAGCACCCUGUUCUGUGCCACGCAGAGAGGAAGCCCCUUGAGGGCAGAGGCCAGGCCUGGCCUGUUCUUAGUGCCUGGGGCCUGGCCUGGCCCCUGUGGCUGCUCCGCAGCUGCCGGAAGAACAGAUCUGUGCGUGGAGGGGCAGGGGCUCUGCAGGCUGGGAGACCUGCGGCUGGAGGGCUUUGCAAAUAUUCCACUCUGCCUCAGCAGAGCGGAGGUGUGAGAGCAUCUCGGAGCUCCUGGCCUGCUCAGUUAUUUCCAAUUGAAUUAAUUAUCCUGCAUUAACAGCGAGCUGCUAAUAGGGAACAUUGGGUGCCCCUGAGGAGGAGCCGGCGCGGCUGGCGGGCACACUUGGCACCCAGAGAGCGGCAGGCAGCGUCUCCUUGGGAGGGCGGGGGCCCUGAGCCUCUCCAGCUGGCGGCCAGCUCCGUCCCACAGCCACUGACCCAUGCCACGGCCACGUCUCUCUGUCCUUUGAAAGGAGAGGAAGGCCAAGCCUGGUGGGCGGGGGCUAGGUCAGCCUGCGGCAGAUGGAACAGUCCCAGCUUGACUCUCACUGCAGCUGUGAGUUAAUGAGGCAGCCUGCGCCGGCAUCUAAGCUCAGCAACCAUCAGGAACUAAGUGGGGUUUCGUGGCUUGCCUCCAAAUUCCCAGCCCUGUUGGGCCACCAAAGACCCACCCUAUGCUGGCCUCUCCUUGGCCACGGGCCAGGCUGGCCCCGGCGUGAGCAGUGAGGCCCCCGGGCUGGCACGUGGGAGCAGAGGCCUGGGGGCCGGCCGGUGGGUGUGCGAGGCCACUCUUGUAGCCCUGCCCAUGCCAUCCCCUCGUCUCAUUCUCUCCCCAUGGCCUUAGCAGACUUAGCAAAUGCCAGAAGCAAUGAGGGUUGCUCAACUCUGACCAUGCCUACGACCCCUUGGCCUCGCCACGAGAGGCUGGCACCACUUUGUCACCUGCUUCUGAGAAUGUGGAGGGAAAGCCCUGCUGCUCCUGGGGCCAUUUCUACCUGGUGGGUUAAGGGCCACCUGGCCACCGCGGGGAUUGGGGAGGGCGUGGGCUGGCUGCGCCGGGCUCAGGGUCUGGCGUCCAGCAGACUCAUGCCCACGCUGCGGCUGGCAUGUGCCCUUCUUCACAGGUGCUGCCAUCUCCUUUCUUCCCCAGUGAGGGACGGCUUUGCUGGCCUCAGGCGACACUGUCCUCUUGCCCGGGCCACUGCAAAUGCAGAAGUGGCAGCAUGUCUGUGCAGAGCCCCAGGGAAGUGCAGACAGACUUCGAAUGUACAGGAAAAUAGAGAAUGAACCUCCAGGCAUCAGCACCUGGAUUCCAGAACACCGUACUCCUGACGUCACAGACACCGUGACCUGUCCCUGUAGCCCUUCGUCGUGGCAUCUCUAAAACUAAAGAUGUUUCCUACCUCAGCCCAACUUCAUUAUCACAGAAGAGAACAUUCUGAGCAGAAGUUCCGAAGCAGGCAAGAGCGAGUUUGUUCUGGAAUGGAAUGAAUGAAUGAGUCACUGGAUGUGCCCAGCCUCUGGGAGGGGCCCGAGGAGGCUGCACCUUGCGGGGAGCGGAGGCUGAGACCCAGGACCUGGGACUACAGACUGGCCGGGGGCUCCUGCUGUGGCUGCUCGAGUGGGCCCAUGGGAGUGGCCCCAUGGGAGUGGCCCCAUGGGAGUGGCCCCAGGGCCUGUUUCCUUGUGUAUAAAAUAAAGUUCCUUCCUUGUGGGUGGUCA